AUGCAUGUCUCAGCGUACAUGGCCUCAACAGUGGAUCUGUGAAUGGCUCCUUACAUCAGCAGUCAUCUCUGUGAUAGAGUGUGGAUGGCAUCACCCUGCCCAGAUGCCCAGCUGGACAUCCUCCAAAACCUAGUGGCUAAUACACGGUUGCAACAGUCUGCCUCACCAAGUCGCCCUGUUAACUGGAGCCUCAGCCCCAAGUGGCAGAGCCAGUGGUGGAUUGCACCCAGCUGUUGGCAAGACCAGCACCUGUAACAGGGUAGUGUGUGAAGGCUGACUCAGGCUGGUCCCUGUGCUCUCUUGGGUUUGUGGACAGCUGCGCUGGCAGAGUGGUGGCCCAUGGCCACAGCAUUGCUUGAUCACACGAGCUUCUGACCUAUCAGCCUGGACUGUGGUGUCUUGGACCACAGUGGCAGUGACGGGUGACAGAGAAUCAGGGUUCGGUUCUGGAGAGGGAGCCUGAGAGAUGGCUACCACUACCAAGGUGGGCAGCAGGCGCGCAAAUUGCCCAAUGCCGAAGCACUCCUGGUGAGGCAGCAACGAACUGCAGCAAUCCUGCCUGUCCUUGUGACCAGUGGGACUUGGAAUGGAUGCAAUCCAAACACAGUGAUGAGUAUCAACUGGAGGGCAAGUCUGGUGCCAGCAGCCGCGGUAAUUCCAGCUCCAUGAGUGUACACUAACACUGCUGCUGUUAAAACACUUGUAGUCGGAUGCUGGGUGCAGGUCUGCCAGGUGGCUGUUGCACUGUUUGUGUGGCUGUGGGCCCCAGUGGUCUGUGGCUGUGCCUGUGCAAUGGACCUCAACCCCUGGCAGUAAGCUCCUGCACCCCAUGGCAAUGAUGGUGAGAUGCUGCCCCUGCUCCAAGUCUCCUUCAGUGGGGAUCGCUGCUGUUGUGCAUGCCCAACGCUCAUGUCUGGCUCUCAGGGUCAGAGCCUCUGUGCUCUGCAAGUCCCUAGCCCACAACCGGGGUCCACCAUCGCAGUCACUGUGGAGAACUCAGUGUGCCUCAAGCAGCCAGUCCUGGCUGGAUGCUCGUCCAUGGAAUGACAAAGCAUUGACCUGAUGUGGCCUGUGGAGUUGUGCUGGCCUUGGUGCUCAUUCAGGGGAACUUGGUGCAGUGGCCUCUCCAUGGCCAGGCGGGCUAAGUGGCUGCACACACCAGUGUGGCCUACUGGCCUGAUACUGGCCUGGGUUGGUUGGCUGUGCCUCUCAGCCAUGAUGGGACUGCUCGUGGUGAAGGGUACUGCAGCGCCAGUGGUGAAAUACUUAGACCGCUGCAAGACCAACUGCAGCGAAGGCGCUCUGCAAGUGCAUGUUCGUCGAUCAAGAAUGAGAGUGUGGGGAGCGAAGAUGAUCAGACACCGUCGUAGUCCACCACUGUAAACCAUGCCAGCUCAGUGUUGAAGGUGCAAGUCUCUGCUGACUCCUCCAGCGCUAUGCCCCCAGCAACGAGAAAUCCAAGCCUUUGGGUUCAGGGGGAAGUACUGUCGCAAGGCUGAAACUUAAAGGAAUUGACGGAAUGGCACCACCAGGCGUGGAGUGUGCGGCUUAAUUUGACUCAACACGGGGAAGCUUACCAGGCCAGGACGUUGCUGGGAUGGACAGACUGAGAGCUCUUUCUUGAUCCUUCGGCUGGUGGUGCAUGGCCGCUCCUGAUUGGUGGGGUGACUUGUCUGGUUGAUUCCGAUAACGAGUGAGAUCUCUGCCUCCCAGUAGCCCCAGCCCUGCACUUGGUAGAGUGGGUGCCUGUGUCUGGCCUGCUGUUGGCUGGUGCCCUCGUGGUGCUGGCCUCUGCAGGGCUGCCAGGUUUGUCCCCUCGAAGGGCGUGGGUUCAGCUUCUCUGAGGUGCUGUGUGUGCUGCCAAACACAUGCAUGCUAGAGCCAACAGCAGGUCUGUGAUGCUCCCAGAUGCCCUGGGCUGCACGCGCACUACAUUGAGCUUGUGAGUGAGUGCUGCACAUCUCUAUUCUGCCUGUGUGCCCUGAGUGGAAGUGCUUGGGAAACCCUGUGAGCCCAGCUCGUACUGGGGAUAGAUGCUUGCAACUGUCUGCCUUGAACGAGGAAUGCCUAGUAAGCUCCAGUCAUCAGCUGGAACUGAUUAAGUCCCUGCCAUUUGUACACACCGCCCGUCGUUGCUACCGAUGGCUGCAGGAUAGAGCCCCUAGGAGGCUCCAGUCCCACUCCUCUCGCAGGGUGGACUGGGCCAAAUCCUGGCCAAUGUCCUGCUGCUAGAGGAAGCAAAA
rnacentral:rRNA from 1 species